rfam:Pneumocystis murina B123 supercont1.3, whole genome shotgun sequence.
GGCCGCGUGGCGCAAUGGCUUAGCGUAUCGGAGUCCGGUAGGGCAUCGACUCUUUUAGUAGUUAUCCGGAGGUUGUGGGUUCGAGUCCCAUCGUGGUCG